GUUGUAGUUGUAGUUGUAGUUGUAGUUGUAGUUGUUGGAGGUGGAGUUCAAGGUGGAGUUCAAGGUGGAGUUCAAGGUGGAGUUCAAGGUGGAGUUCAAGUAACUACUUUAUCCUGGUCAGGGUUGUGGUGGAUUCAGAGCUUAUCCCGGGAACGCUGGGCAUGAGGCGGGAAUACACCCCAGGUGAGCUUCCCGUCCAUCACAAGGCACCAGAUGGACUAUAGAAACACCUAUAAUGUAUAUAGGGGAGACAUGGUAUCCAAACAUGCACAGACUGAUCCACACAAAUCCACACAAAUGAACCCUGGCAUCUAUUUAUAAAAUUGCCCCAGCCGACGCUGCCAUGCUGUGCUCUGAGUGGCACCAGAAACCAGCACGCUCUCUUUCUAGUUGCUUUCAACAGCCAAAUGUCUUCUAGUGGCUUAAUUAGACCCGAAUCCAGUGCAUGUGUAUUGUUUUUGCACACAAUCACAACACUCCGUAGCCAGUCUGCAGUGCUUGGGUCACACACUUAGACAAUCAGAGUGAGUGAAGAGGCCAAGACGUGGAUGGAUGAGAACUUUUUACCCCCCACCAUCCCAGACGUGAGAAACACUCACUGCUCCUGAAUGACAACAAGCCUGGGGUUUCAGACGGACACAAUGGCGGCAUUGUACUAUACACGGCCUCAUCCCUGACACUGAGGGAGCUGCCAAUUAGGUCAACACUGUGAGUGAGCUGCUCCGUCACUAUUAGGAAGCCAGACUAGCUUUAAUAAGUAGAGGUGAACUGUUGAAAGGAACACUUAUAUUUUAUAUUUUCAGAUGUUGGAUUUUGUGCAUUCAAAUAUUUAACACUCCUGUUUGGUUUACUACAUUGCACAAAAUUUGACAUGGACCAUCUCUGUCAUUUUUAACGAUGUAAAAAAAGAAAUAUCAGUAAUUUUUUAAAUCACUUUGAAAUGUAUUGUUUUACAUGAAAAAAAUGACAAUUUUAAUUUCAAAGAAGAGAAAAAAUAAAGAAUAGGCACAAC